rnacentral:rRNA from 1 species
UACAGAGGUCCCAAGCGUUGUUCGGAUUCACUGGGCGUAAAGGGUGCGUAGGUGGUGGGGUAAGUCGGAUGUGAAAGCUCGGAGCUCAACUCCGAAAUGGCAUUGGAAACUACCUUGCUAGAGGUUUGGAGGGGGGACUGGAAUACUUGGUGUAGCAGUGAAAUGCGUAGAUAUCAAGUGGAACACCAGUGGCGAAGGCGAGUCCCUGGACAACACCUGACACUGAGGCACGAAAGCUAGGGGAGCAAACAGG